CUGAGGCAGAACAAAAUACAUUGUGCGCAAGGAUACAAGCCACAUGCUGCUCUCCAGCCUGCUAUGGGCGUCUGUGGCCUUCAUCUACUCUGGACCCAGUGUCGCCCAGAAAGUGACGCAAGUCCAGCCAGCCACAUCUGGGAGAGAAGGGGAAGCAGUCACUCUUGAUUGCGAAUAUGAACAACAGUGGAGUACAAACUAUCUUUUGUGGUACAAACAACCUCCCAGCGGAGAGAUGAUGUUCCUUGUUUUGACUGCUUCUGGUCAGACUAAAAAGACUGGUCGCUAUUCCGUCAAAUUCCCAAAAGCUAACUCUAUGAACUUAGUCAUUUCUGGUUUACAGAUGGAAGAUUCAGCAAAGUAUUUCUGUGCUAUUGAAGAACCACAGUGCUUGAAGUGACAGUAAAAGCCGAACAAAAACUCAGGCUCUCCACACGAGAUAGGCUCUGCCGCAGGAGCCCAGCUGA